rnacentral:rRNA from 1 species
AUUGAACGCUGGCGGCAGGCUUAACACAUGCAAGUCGAGCGGAGAGAGGUAGCUUGCUACUGAUCUUAGCGGCGGACGGGUGAGUAAUGCUUAGGAAUCUGCCUAUUAGUGGGGGACAACAUUUCGAAAGGAAUGCUAAUACCGCAUACGUCCUACGGGAGAAAGCAGGGGAUCUUCGGACCUUGCGCUAAUAGAUGAGCCUAAGUCGGAUUAGCUAGUUGGUGGGGUAAAGGCCUACCAAGGCGACGAUCUGUAGCGGGUCUGAGAGGAUGAUCCGCCACACUGGGACUGAGACAAGGCCCAGACUCCGACGGGAGGCAGCAGUGGGGAAUAUUGGACAAUGGGCGCAAGCCUGAUCCAGCCAUGCCGCGUGUGUGAAGAAGGCCUUAUGGUUGUAAAGCACUUUAAGCGAGGAGGAGGCUACUUUAGUUAAUACCUAGAGAUAGUGGACGUUACUCGCAGAAUAAGCACCGGCUAACUCUGUGCCAGCCGCCGCCGUAACAC